AUGGCGCUGCAAAACAUUGGUGCUUCAAACAAGGAUGAUGCCUUCUACAGGUACAAGAUGCCCAGAAUGUUGACAAAAAUAGAAGGCCGUGGUAAUGGCAUCAAGACAAAUAUUGUGAACAUGGUUGAUAUAGCAAAAGCACUUGCCAGGCCCGCUUCCUACACCACCAAGUACUUUGGAUGUGAGCUUGGAGCACAAUCAAAAUUUGAUGAGAAGACAGGAAUCGCCUUGGUCAAUGGUGCUCAUGAUACUUCAAAGCUGGCUGGCCUUCUUGAGAACUUCAUCAAGAAGUAUGUGCAGUGUUAUGGCUGUGGCAAUCCUGAGACUGAGGUCCUCAUCUCCAAGAAAGAGAUGAUAACUCUGAAAUGUGCUGCCUGUGGCUUCCUCUCUGAUGUUGACAUGAGGGACAAACUCACUACAUUCAUCCUGAAGAACCCGCCAGAACAGAAGAAGGGAGGCAAAGACAAGAAAGCUAUGCGAAGAGCUGAGAAGGAGCGGAUGAAAGAAGGUGAAGCUGCUGAUGAGGAGAUGAAGAAACUCAAAAAGGAUGCAAAGAAGAAAGGUGCUUCUUCCAAGGAUACAAAGAAAAAGGCUGCUGGGGGAGGUUCUGAUGAAGAACAUGCAACCUCACCAACUCACAGUCAAGGUGCCGACCUUGCAGCUGCUGCAGAUGAUGAUGACGAUGACGAUGUGGAGUGGCAGACUGACACGUCAGCGGAAGCCGCGAGAAAACGCAUGGAGGAGCAGCUGAGUGCAGCAACUGCUGAAAUGGUUAUGCUUGCCACCGAGGAGACGGAGAAGAAGAAGAAACAGGCCCUGCACAAAGAGGGCAGUUCCAAUGGGACACCAAAGGCUGAAGAUAAUUCCAAUGGCAACCAGACUGGGCCCAAGACCACUCCUUAUGACGAACUGGUUGAAGAGAUCAAGGCCAACUUGGGCAAUGCUGCCACUGCAGCUCAGCUCAAGGGUGUCCUCGCCUCCUCAGCCCUACCUCCCAAGGACGUGAUGCAUGCUCUCUUUGAGGCACUCUUCCAUGGCAUGGGCAAGGGGUUCGCGAAGGAAGUGGUGAAGAACAAGAAGUACCUUUCCGCCGCGGUGCCUGAUGAAGGGUCCCAGAUGCUCCUGCUCCAGGCUAUCGAGGCGUUCUGUGGCAAGUGCAGUGCUGAAGCCCUGAAGGAAGUCCCCGUCGUCCUGAAGGCCCUCUAUGAUGGAGACGUCCUCGAGGAAGAAACUAUUGUCCAGUGGUACAAUGAAGCUGUUGCUGCCGGCAAGAACUCCCAGGUCGUGAAGAACGCCAAGCCGGUCGUGGAGUGGCUCCAGAGCGCCGAAUCUGACGACGACGAGUGA
rnacentral:rRNA from 1 species